rnacentral:rRNA from 1 species
GUCUAUGGCCAUGCUACCCUAAACAAGCCCGAUCCUGUCUGAUGUUGGAAGAUAAGCAGGGUUGAGCCUGGUUAGUACUUGGAUGGGAGAUCACCUAGGAAGACCAGAUGCUGUAGGUG